rnacentral:rRNA from 1 species
UGGGGAAUAUUGGACAAUGGGCGCAAGCCUGAUCCAGCCAUGCCGCGUGUGUGAAGAAGGCCUUUUGGUUGUAAAGCACUUUAAGCGAGGAGGAGGCUACUGAGAUUAAUACUCUUGGAUAGUGGACGUUACUCGCAGAAUAAGCACCGGCUAACUCUGUGCCAGCAGCCGCGGUAAUACAGAGGGUGCGAGCGUUAAUCGGAUUUACAGGGCGUAAAGCGUGCGUAGGCGGCUUCUUAAGUCGGAUGUGAAAUCCCUGAGCUUAACUUAGGAAUUGCAUUCGAUACUGGGAAGCUAGAGUAUGGGAGAGGAUGGUAGAAUUCCAGGUGUAGCGGUGAAAUGCGUAGAGAUCUGGAGGAAUACCGAUGGCGAAGGCAGCCAUCUGGCCUAAUACUGACGCUGAGGUACGAAAGCAUGGGGAGCAAACAGG